GACGAACGCUGGCGGCGUGCUUAACACAUGCAAGUCGAACGGAAAGGCCCUGCUCUUGUUGGGUGCUCGAGUGGCGCACGGGUGAGUAACACGUGUGUAACCUGCCCUUGUCUUUCGGAUAACUUCAGGAAACUGGGGCUCAUACCGCAUAGGAGCUCCUGCUGCGUGGUGGUCGUUGGAAAGUUUCGGCGGUUGGGGAUGGACUCGCGGCUUAUCCGCUUGUUGGUGGGGUUGUUGCUUACCAAGCCUUUGACGGCUAGGCUGCCUGAGAGGGGGACCGGCCACAAUGGGACUGAGAUACGGACCAGACGCCUACGGGAGGCAGCAGGGGGGAGUAUGGCACAAUGGGCGGAAGCCAGAUGCAGCAACGCCGCGUGCGGAAUGACGGGCUUCGGGUUGUAAACCGCUGUCGCCUGUGACGAAGCGGGAGUGACGGUAAUGAGUAAGGAAGCAACGGCUAACUACGUG
rnacentral:rRNA from 1 species